rnacentral:rRNA from 1 species
AAACCAGCACCUCAAGUGGUCAGGAGGUUUAUUGGGCCUAAAGCAUCCGUAGCCUGAUCUAUAAGUUUCCGGUUAAAUCCACAUGCUCAACAUUUGGGCUGCCGGAAAAACUGUAGAUCUAGGGAGUGGGAGAGGUAGACGGUACUCGAUAGGAAGGGGUAAAAUCCUUUGAUCUAUUGAUGACCACCAGUGGCGAAGGCGGUCUACCAGAACACGUUCGACGGUGAGGGAUGAAAGCUGGGGGAGCAAACCGGAUUAGAAACCCGAGUAGUCC